GGUUGUGGCCCAGUGGUAGAGCGCUUGCCUAGCAUGCGUGAGGCACGGGGUUUGAUCCCCAGCACCA
rnacentral:tRNA from 1 species